AGAGUUUGAUCCUGGCUCAGAUUGAACGCUGGCGGCAUGGCUAAAACAUGCAAGUCGAACGAGAACCUCGCAAGAGGGGACAGUGGCGGAAGGGUCAGUAAUGGGAUCGAAUGUACCCCGAGGUGGAGGAUAGCGUUGGGAAACUAACGGUAAUACUCCAUGUCCUCUACGGAGAAAAGAUUUAUCGCCUUGGGAGCAGCGAUCCUCCUAUCAGGUAGUUGGCGGGGUAAAAGCCCACCAAGCCGAAGACGGGUAGCGGGUGUGAGAGCACGGCCCGCGACAUCGAGACUGAGACACUGCUCGGACUCCUACGGGAGGCUGCAGUAACGAAUAUUCCGCAAUGCGCGAAAGCGUGACGGAGCAAUGCCGCGUGCAGGAUGAAGCGGUUUUGCCGUGUAAACUGCUGUCAGGGAUAAGAAAUACUGAUCUAUCCCAGAGGAAGGGGCGACUAACUCUGUGCCAGCAGUCGCGGUAAUACAGAGGCCCCGAGCGUUAAUCGGAAUCACUGGGCUUAAAGGGUGCGUAGGCGGGUCAGUAAGCGCUUUGUGAAAUCCCACAGCUCAACUGUGGAACCGCAGGGCGAACUGCUGAUCUUGAGGAAGCUAGAGGCUGGUAGAACGAUAGGUGGAGCGGUGGAAUGCGUAGAGAUCUAUCGGAAUGCCGAAAGUGAAGACAGCCAGCUGGGGCUUUCCUGACGCUAAAGCACGAAAGCGUGGGGAGCAAACCGGAUUAGAUACCCGGGUAGUCCACGCCCUAAACGAUGUGCACUAGACUGGAGCGGCUCUGACGUCGUUCUGGUCGUAGAGAAAUUGUUAAGUGCACCGCCUGGGUAGUACGGUCGCAAGGCUAAAACUCAAAGGAAUUGACGGGGGCUCACACAAGCGGUGGAGCAUGUUGCUUAAUUCGAAGCAACGCGAAGAACCUUACCUGGGUUUGACAUGUACGGAUUAACCGGUGGAAACACUGGCCACACUCGCAAGAGUGGAACGUACACAGGUGCUGCAUGGCUGUCGUCAGCUCGUGCUGUGAAGUGUCGGGUUAAGUCCCUUAACGAGCGCAACCCUUGUCGCUAGUUGCUAACAGGUAAUGCUGAGGACUCUAGCGAGACUGCCGGUGUCAAACCGGAGGAAGGCGGGGAUGACGUCAAGUCCUCAUGGCCCUUACAUCCAGGGUUGCAAACGUGCUACAAUGGUGCAUACAGAGCGACGCAAGACCGCAAGGUGGAGCAAAUCGCAAAAAAUGCACCCCAGUUCGGAUUGCAGGCUGCAACUCGCCUGCAUGAAGCCGGAAUCGCUAGUAAUCGGAGAUCAGCUACGCUCCGGUGAAUAAGUUCCUGAGCCUUGUACACACCGCCCGUCAAGUCAUGGGAGCCGGUAGUGCCCGAAGUCGCCACAUCACUGUGGUGCCCACGGCAAGAUCGGUGACUGGGACUAAGUCGAAACAAGGUAGCCGUAGGAACCUGCGGCUG
rnacentral:rRNA from 1 species